rnacentral:SRP_RNA from 1 species
GUGUGCUAGGUGGGGAAUUAGCGGAGCCCUGUAACUCGCAACCCGCUCCAGCGAGGCUGAAUUCCUGCACGAGAAUGCUGAUUUUCUUUUUUUGAACUGAAAAGUAGUAUUGAUAAUCAAGCCCUACGCAAUUGUAAACUGUGAACCUUGUCAGAUUCGGAAGGAAGCAGCAAUAAGCAGAAUUUACGAUGUGCCGCAGGUCAACUUGGUUUGAGCUAACUAUCAUUAAAUAUUAGAAAUAGGUAUCGAAUGCAGGUGCACAC